rnacentral:rRNA from 1 species
AAUAGAUACCCCGGUAGUCCACGCCGUAAACGGUGGGCACUAGGUGUGGGCGACAUUCCACGUCGUCCGUGCCGCAGCUAACGCAUUAAGUGCCCCGCCUGGGGAGUACGGCCGCAAGGCUAAAACUCAAAGGAAUUGACGGGGGGCCCGCACAAGCGGCGGAGCAUGUGGCUUAAUUCGACGCAACGCGAAGAACCUUACCAAGGCUUGACAUACACCGGAAACGUCCAGAGAUGGGCGCCCCCUUGUGGUCGGUGUACAGGUGGUGCAUGGCUGUCGUCAGCUCGUGUCGUGAGAUGUUGGGUUAAGUCCCGCAACGAGCGCAACCCUUGUCCCGUGUUGCCAGCAGGCCCUUGUGGUGCUGGGGACUCACGGGAGACCGCCGGGGUCAACUCGGAGGAAGGUGGGGACGACGUCAAGUCAUCAUGCCCCUUAUGUCUUGGGCUGCACACGUGCUACAAUGGCCGGUACAAUGAGCUGCGAUACCGCGAGGUGGAGCGAUCUCAAAAAGCCGGUCUCAGUUCGGAUUGGGGU